AUUUUAGUGGCGAACGGGUGAGUAACGCGUGGGUAACCUGCCCUUUUAUCGGGGACAACUUGCCGAAAGGUGAGCUAAUACCGGAUGUCCUAUCUAAAACACAAGUUUAAGAUAGCAAAGGUGGCCUCUUUAAAUGCUACCGUAAAAGGAUGGACCCGCGUCUGAUUAGCUAGUUGGUGAGGUAAUGGCUCACCAAGGCGACAAUCAGUAGCCGGCCUGAGAGGGUGAACGGCCACACUGGGACUGAGACACGGCCCAGACUCCUACGGGAGGCAGCAGUGGGGAAUCUUCCGCAAUGGACGAAAGUCUGACGGAGCAACGCCGCGUGAGUGAUGAAGGUCUUCGGAUUGUAAAACUCUGUUUUUUGGGACGAACGGCUCAUAUGUAAAUAAUGUAUGAGAUUGACGGUACCAAAGGAGGAAGCCCCGGCUAACUACGUGCCAGCAGCCGCGGUAAUACGUAGGGGGCAAGCGUUGUCCGGAAUUAUUGGGCGUAAAGAGCGCGCAGGCGGGUCUGUCAGUCUACCGUGAAAGCUUACGGCUCAACCGUAACAGGUCGGUGGAUACUGCAGAUCUUGAGGGCAGGAGAGGAAAGUGGAAUUCCCAGUGUAGCGGUGAAAUGCGUAGAUAUUGGGAGGAACACCAGUGGCGAAGGCGACUUUCUGGACUGUUACUGACGCUGAGGCGCGAAAGCUGGGGGGAGUGAACGGGAUUAGAUACCCCGGUAAUCCCAGCCGUAAACGAUGGGUACUAGGUGUAGGAGGUAUCGACCCCUUCUGUGCCGGAGUUAACGCAAUAAGUACCCCGCCUGGGGAGUACGGUCGCAAGACUGAAACUCAAAGGAAUUGACGGGGGCCCGCACAAGCGGUGGAGCAUGUGGUUUAAUUCGACGCAACGCGAA
rnacentral:rRNA from 1 species